CGACUCUGGUUUCUCUUCAUUACGCACAAGCCUUUCGCCUUUUACUAAAGACUUCCGUGGAGAGGAACACUUACGAGUUCAAUGUAUUUUUUGGAAGGGCUUUGCUUCUGGCAGAGCC
rnacentral:snRNA from 8 species